rnacentral:rRNA from 1 species
GACGAACGCUGGCGGCAUGCCUAACACAUGCAAGUCGAACGGUAAGGCUUCCUUCGGGAAGUACACGAGUGGCGAACGGGUGAGUAACACGUGGGUAACCUACCCUUGACUGGGGAACACCCGGGGGAACCUUCGGUAAAAACGGCUUACCGUGCUUUCCCCCAAGGUGGGUUACAAAGCCUCCGGCGGUUAAGGAUGGGCCGGCGGCAGUUUAGCUUGUUGUUGAGGUAACGGUUUACCAAGGCGACGAUCUGUAGGUGGUCUGCGAGGACGAUCAGCCACACUGGAACUGAGACACGGUCCAGACUCCUACGGGAGGCAGCAGUGGGGAAUCUUGCGCAAUGGGCGAAAGCCUGACGCAGCGAUGCCGCGUGAGGGAAGACGGCCUUAGGGUUGUAAACCUCUUUCAGCAGGGACGAACACAGACGGUACCUGCAGAAGAAGCCCCGGCUAACUACGUGCCAGCCGCCGCCGUAA